UUCUGACUUGUAUCGUGUCAUUGUUCAUGAUUUAGUCAGAACCUGGAAUGCUACCUUCAGAUUAUGGAAGCUGGCAAAAUUCAUAACCUGGCAAAAGGGAAAAUAUUCACAUAACUCUCGGCAAGAAACCAAAUCAAACUAUUCUUUUUAAUUGCAGAUGGCAGAGGACAAUAUGCUGGGUCUGCAAUAACAUCGACUCAAAAUUCCUUGCUAAUUGUGAAAUAACUUCCUAAAGAUUGCAAGCAAAAGGAAGUCAGAGAACAAAGCAAUGUCAAGUAUGCACAUGUCACAACACAAUGUGCUGAUUCCAAGCCUUUGGAAACAUGCUGAAAGACAUGUCUGGAAAAAAAAAAAAAAAAAAAAAAGCCACCAAAAACCAGGGAAAUGCUUCCACACAGACUUUCAUCAUGAAAACAGCAGCUGAAUGUGCCUGUUCCCACCAGGAAAAAAUACCCUGAAAUAACAAAAGGUGGUGGAAAGCUAGAAAUGAAAUCAUCAGAUGGCGAGCAUGCUUUUUUGUCUGUUCCUAAAACUUACAUAGACUGUACUUCCACUACAUUGUAAAUCAAGGGAUCAAUCUGGAGUAGUGUUUGACUGCAAGGUGCCAAGAAGACCAAGAAAAAUGGAAUGUAUAAACAGGUCUCUUUUACAAUGAAGGGCUAGUAGAACAAAACAGAAGGAAAGCAAACAAAGGGCAACACUUUCAGAUAGUGUAUCUGAAGGAAUGCAAACUCUGUGCAUUCCUGAUCACUCCUGUAGGUACUGAAGGUAUAAAAGACAUGCUCUUGAGGAGAAUGGCAUACACAGUGUUUCUUUGUGAAAGAGUCCGUGUACAUUCCCUUCAUAACCACAGGUAAACCUUUGUAUCAUUGGUAUACUCUAAAGAUGUAUUUUCAGUUAGGUCUACAGUGUUGGCUUGCUGAGUCCAAUUUUCUGUCAUCUUAAGAGCUAAGGGUUAAGUAAAUUCUGGGGGCAAAUUGUAGGAUCCCAGGAAAAGUUAUAUGUACAACAUAAGUGAAACACUGUAUGCAUCUGACUUUAUAUGUUGCAAAAUACCACCUCAAGAAACAGAGGGAUAUCAUAUAUAAAUGCAAAUGAAGCAAUGUUCAGUAAUGAAUAAUGAUAUGACAAGGCAUUUUCUUUCAAAGCCGACAGAAGAAAACAAACUUAUCCCUAGUUUGUGCAGGGAUGAAACAAAUACUGAGAUGAAAAGCGAGUUGUCUAACAUUAUAUAUCAGCUCUGGAAUAAAUACUCCAUCUUCAGCUUCUCAAGUGACUUUAUAAAACUGUUGCUCUUUGUUAACUGCUAGACCCCAAAGAGCACUCAUGACAAGUGCACCUGAAAGGCUUGUUUUGCAUUCGUUGCUACUAGUUGUGCUCCCAUAGAUGCAUACCAUAAAAUGACCUCAGGGUUUGUUAGUGUUUCCUGCAGUAGGCUUGAUAUGCAUGACAAGGAAACCCAAUCUUACUUUAAGCAAAAGUUAUUCAGAUAUGUUUAACCAAAACUUUCUUGAUAUAUGUUAAAAUCUGGCAUAAAUGUCUCUGCUGAAUAUAGAAAAAGUGCUCCCAUGAUUAUAGAAGCUGAACAUGGAAUAAGCUGAGGAAAUAUUUGUUUACCCUGGCUGCAAACUGCGGAAUGGCUCUUAAACAUAUUUGUCUGUUCCAUAUUCCUUGUCAGUGUAGUUUCUGGGAUUCAGGUUAUUCCGGCUGAUUCAAAUGUAGACUCCAACUCUAUGAAGCACAAUUUACAUUUGGUUCUCAGCCAUCUUUUGUAGAUUUUCAUGCAAUUAAUGAUUUUUUCCCUUCCCUCUUGGGCUAAACCGAGAAUAUCUGACUGAGUCUUGCUAUACAAGUGAGGUUCAUGGAAAAUGUGACUCCUUUUGAACCAACACUGCUUUUUUUUUGUAUUAUUACUAUUGUUAUUUUUAGAGUAAACAAGAACCUGACCAAAACCUGACCCUUCUAUUUUUUAAUCUCACUGUUUGACAUGUAUGUUUGUAAUUUACUCUUCUGCACUGUAGCCUGUUAUGCGUGCCGGACUUUAUGCAUAUAUUGUGUCUCCAUAGGCAAUGAAAUUUGCACCAGUUGCCAGUACCCGGCAGGUAUGAUGCAUGUGUAGACAGUGAGGUGAUGGAGGACUGGUGUCUGCACUGGCGGCAAACAGCUAAUGCCCACGUGUGCAACUUCACCCUACCAACACAAGGCAAACAGCUUUGCACGAGUAGUGAACUUGAGAAGAUGCCAGAAAACACAAGUAUAGGUGGUAGGCAAAUGGGUACUAAAAAGAAACCUUCUGCCACAGUAGAUCACUAACGCAGAUGCCCUUUGAGGCUGAGACUAUGCCUGACUGCAAUACAGUCAAAUGGAGAAGUGAGAUAUUCCUUUACACUGUGCAUGGCCACAUAACAUUUGGGAACUGGCAGGAGCAGGCAGGUAAUUAAGCAUGUGGAGCUGUCAGGCAGUCAAGGGAAAGAGAGAUAGGGAAUGAACCUUUAAAAGAGCUUUUGGUUUGCACUUUUGUUGGGCCUGCCAGAGGUUUGGAAAUAAUGCAGAGACAGAACCUGUUGUCAUGGGUACAAUACUCUAGCAAAUUGCUUUUCCAGAGCCAAUGGAAUAGUGAUAAUUCUUCUCAGACCCCUGCAUAAAUUAAUUGAAAGCUAAUGUUAGCUUAAAAAAAAAAAA